rnacentral:piRNA from 1 species
UACUGCAUGGAGUCUUACUAUUCUU